AAGUGACAAGCUCUCGGAGUGGGUGGGGGGAGUGUGGCCGGCACGCCCGGGAGCGCCGCGCGCAUGCGCCCGGCCGGGCGCCCGGGCCUGUGGCGAGGCGACGCGCUACGGCCCGGCAAAGGGAGGGAACCUGGGCCGGUGGCGCUGGGUCCGCGACCGGGGGUCUCGGGCCGGCUACUCGUCCGCGCGUGCUCUCGCGGGCGGGCGGACGGACAGCCGGAGCCCGGGGCUGUUUGUGCCCGAGAGGCGGGCUGAUGGGCAAGCAAACUGUUGCUUUUCUCCUUCCAUUGGAACCGAAACGGGGAGGGUUGGAAAAGCACGGGAAGGAACUGUAGGAGGCGGCUCGACAAAUGGGUGAGCCGUAAGGAGUGGUGAUUCCGAAAAGGUUGUCAGCACACUAAUGGUCCUUGGGAGGAAGCUAUCGAGUGGCGGACGAUCGGGAUUGAUUGCCGCGGCGCUCCUCUUCUGGAACCUGAAGGCGAAGAAGGUGGGUCACGUGCGCAGGACGCGCUUUCCCUCCUCUUCGGUGCCCGCGUCCGGCUUGGAAAAUCCCCGAAGAUCGCGGUCGUCUGUCACAUUCCGAAAACCCGUGUGGUCGCCUCUUGGGGCAGGAGAGCCGCCUCCUCAACUCCCAGAACGGAGUUCUUGUUCUACAAGCAAAUACGUGUCCACUGUCGGUCAGGAAAUAUUAAGGGAGACAAAGCUUUGUUUUAUCUUCUCGCGCCGACAGAGCCACUGAAAAUCUCCGCAGUUGUGUAGCUUGAAUUGUCCGUUUGCGGGGUCCUGAAAGAGCGGUUUAAUAGUCGGUAGGUUCUGUGUGUAUUUUGGAAGAGCAAACGAGUGACUGAAAUCUGUUUUAAAAAUUAAUAGGAAAAUUUGUGGUAGGUCCAGUAAUUAAUUGAUAAACUCGUUAUUGUGAAAAUACUGAACGGAGCAUUUGCAUAGGUCUUGGGGGAUUGUAGCAGCUUGAUUAUAGGGGUGACAGGAAAAGGAAGAAGAGUGGUCCAAGUGAUCCACUUUUUUAAGGGAAUUCCAGCUACCGUACAUUCUACACGCCAGUCACAUAUACGCAGUAUGUUUGAUCAUUUUUUUCUGUCCCAUUUUCAAGAGGCGUCAUACAACAUCAAACUAAAAUGUAAUGCCACAACCUACAUGUAAGGUAAAAGAAAUUAUGUCCACAUGAUGGUGUUUGUUAGGCAGCCAAUAAAAAUCAUUUUGUGUAACAUGGUGUGCAGUAUGCUUAAGCAUAUCGAAAAAAAAUUAAUGUGACCCCUUAACAGUGGAGUUACAGGUAAUUUUUAUUUAACAUUGGAGCUCUUUGGUAAAAUUUGAGGUGAAAUAUUUUCUUCAUUUCCAGAGGAGCUUUUCCUACUUUUAUAAGCACAUUUAUUUAGCACAGGUUAAAAAAUGAAUAUACAAUUUUAAGUUUCCAUAAACCUGAAAAGGCAUUGCUUCAAAUAUGUGAGUUAUAAAUGUUUGCUGGCCACAUAUGAGUAAAAAAUGGUUAGCUUCCGGAGUAAAUGCAGCACUCUUUAUACUUUAGAGUGGUUGGUACUAGAAGGUCCCCAAAAUUGCUUGCUAAUAGAAUGGAUUUUAAACAGUUUUUGAGAAAUUACAAGUAUAGAUAAGAUUGGAACGUCUGUGUGGGUAAAACAGAUACUGGAAUACUGAAUCAGAAUUUUAAAGAUGAAAAGAAACCAUGGAAAUUAUCUAGUAAACCUUACUUUAUAAAUGGGAAAACUGAAAUUCAGAGAGGUUAACUGACUUGCUAAAGGUCACAAAGUAACAGAACUGGGUCUAAUACCUAGAUCAAUCCCUUCUAUAACAAUAUUAGUAUCUGACAUGUAUUGAGUAAUAUGUUUUAAGCUCAAGAAUAACUCAUUUAGGGGCACCUGGGUGGCUCAGUCGGUUAAUCAUCUGCCUUCGGCUCAGGUCAUGAUCCCAGGGCCCUGGGAUCGAGCCCCGCAUUGGGCUCCCUGCUCAGCAGGGAGUCCGCUUGUCCCUCUGCUCUUCACCCGGCUUGUGUUCUCUCUCUCUCUCUCACUUUCACUCUCUCUGUCUCCCAAAUAAAAUCUUUAAAAAAAAAUUUUUUUAAAUAACUCAUUUAAUCCUAUCAACAAUUCAAUCCAUUCUACAGGUAGGGAAACUGAGGCAGAAAUAGGUUAGAUAACUCCUCAAGGUUACCUGAUACACACAGCUGAUAGGCAACUGAGCCAGCAUUUGAACCCAAGUAGUAUGGCUCUGAGACUCAUGACCUCAGCCAUUAUGCUAUACUGCCUAUACCAUGUCGCCUACACUAUACCAUAACCAUUUGGAUCACACCGUAUGUGAAAGAUGAGCCAGCAGAUCCUGUCAUUUGUGAAAGGUAUUAAAAUGCUAUGUCGAAGUUUAUGGAGUUGCUAAAUCACAAGAAUUUAAUUGAAAUUCCACAGGGCUCUAGAGCUUAGACUUUGGACAUCAUCUAGAAUUAUCAUCCUACCUCUAAAAACACUGCACAAAUCAUCCCACUGCACAAAUCAUCCCGGAAAAAUUAUGUCUUCAUUGUUCACUGCAGCAACCUAGGUGACACAUUAUUACGCUUUAAGGAACUUUGUGAUCCUUAAAGUCUGGAAAUAUGUCCUUAUGAUUAACCUAAGACCAUUUUAUGGUUUAAAAUUAUUCUCUCAUCUUCAAGGCAGGAAAAUUCUACACACACAUACACAUUUAUUAUUGCUGCAUAAGAAACCACCCUAGAAAUAGUGCUUUAAAACCAUUUUAUAUACUCUCAAUUCUAUAGAUCAGUGAUUCAGAUCAGCCUUGUCUGGGAUCAUGCAGGUAAUCAUUUGGCAUCUUAACUGAGCACACUCAUGACUGGUUGUUGGUGUUGACUAUGGGCUGGACCUACCUCCUAGCCUUUAUUCCUGGGCUUCAUAUGUAGGCAGCAUGCCAGGCAGGUAGAAACAGGAAGCCGUAAGACCUCUUGAAGCAGAAGUUACACGACAUCACUUCUAUCACAUUCUGUUAGUCAAAGUAGGUCAAAAGGCCAGCAUAGAUUCAGGAAUUGGGAAAACAGAUUCCCCUUAUGGAUGGGAAGAACAGCAAAGUCCCAUUUCAAAGGGACAUGCAUAAUAGGAAUGGGAAGGAUUAUUGUGAUGGUCUUUGCAUAUACUCUUUCACAAUAGAUAAUUAUUUCAAGAAUGGUACUAGCUAAUUAAAGCUGUUGAAUUUUUUUAAUGCUAUAUGAUUCAUAUAAUUCCUUUAAGAACAGCAAAACAAGAAGAUACUAAUCAAACCUAUUCUUUAAAUAAUUGGGCCAAUUUGGUGGCCUUGUGUAGAUAAACUGAUGAUUACUUAACUUUUCCAAGUAGACUUGCUUUUUGAAAGGUUUUCCCAUCUGUUUUUAAACACAUCCCACUAAAACACAGCAUAAAAACCUAACACCAAAUAGAAGUAAUUAUGGUUUCUAUAGAACUUUUACUCUGGUCCAGAUUUUGCUAGCUUUGAUAAUGAGGUGGCAUUUUAUAACACAAAUAAUUAAAUUCAUAAUUAGGUACAAAUCAAAUUAUGGGCCAAAGUAGAGGCUGAGAGUUUAGAAAGAGUCAUGGAAAAAUUGAUUUACAGGGACAAAUAUUAAACUGUUGCUCUUUUAUCAACUAUAUAGAAUUACAAGCAACAUAAUAUGAAAAAAGAAGAUAAUGCUUUCCCUAAGGUGUUUAUUUUAAGGAGAGUAAGGAGUAGGUUGUACCUGUGUUGCUAUCCGGGAGAUAAGUUGCCUACCAGGAAACCCUGACAUGAACUUAUAUCUUUCAUUCCUGGUGCUAAGGCACACUUAGGUCUUGCUGGCCAGGUGACACAAUGCAUGCACCAUGCUGUCGUAUGGGCACCAAACCAUCCUUGACAAGUCUUCCAUUCAAAUGCAUUUCAGAUAGCAUUUAAGUGAAUUUCAUUUCUUAAAAAUGUUUUUUGGUUAUAAAGGAGUUUGUUCAUAAGUCUGUAUUAUAAUCUAAUAAUACCUAAUGAUAAUUUUGUCACUUUUGAACUCAAUGUGCUAAGUGCUUUUCUAGUUUUUCACUGAAACCUUACAAAGAUCCUGGGUUAGAUAUUACCCCAUUUUAUGUAAAGAGAAACAGAUAAUUAGUGUCCGAGCCAAGAUUUAAAUAUAGGUCUGAGUCCAGGUCCUAUGCCUCAAGUUACAUAUAUUCUAAUGAUUACUAAAACUUUAUCUCCAGGUCAGACCUGUCCCUGGAGCCUCUAAACUCUUAACUACCCAUGAGACAGACCAUCUGAAUUUCCCCAGGCAUCUCAAAGUUAGCAGGACCAAAACUGAACUUCUUACCAAAAUGUUCUUUCUCUUUCAAAUUUUAACCAACAGUGUUCCUAUCCAAAAGGCUCUCAAGACAGAAGCCUUGGAGUCAAAGGAAGAGCAUUGGCACAGAUGCAAAGUAACGGAGGUUACUUGUAUACAGGUUUCUCAUCUCACUUAUCCCCAACAUCUAACCUACCACCAUAAACAAUUUGUUAUACCUCAGAAAGCUCGAGAAAAUAGUUUCCUCUCUCCAUAUGCACCAUCAAUCUUCUAGUCUAAAACCCUAUCUCUGAACCAUUGCCAUAACCACCUCCAUGGUCUCCCUACCACCCAUCUCUCCCUCCCUCAAUUACUCCACACUAUCAACAGAAUGAUAUCCAAACCGAUCCAAUAUUACUCCCCAACUGAAAAUCUCUGUUGACUGCCAAUUUUUUACAUGAAGAAAUAAAAUCUUAACAAGAAGCAUAUAAUCAGCGUACAUUUUGAGGUCAGAAAAAUCUGGAUGUUAGUCCUAUCUCCAUCAAUCAUGGGUUUUAUGUCUCUAGGCAAGUAAGAACCUCUUCUGAGCCUCAGUUUUCUCGGCUUUAUGCUAUUUCCAGCAUAGUGAGAAAUUGGUUAAUGAAUAAAGUACCCAGCAGGAUCUGGAACACAGUACAGAUAUAUAAUAAUAAAUUCUCAUUACAUCUGGCCCACCCACAACUUCACAA